rnacentral:rRNA from 1 species
UACGUAGGCAGCAAGCGUUGUUCGGAAUUACUGGGCGUAAAGAGUGUGUAGGCGGUGUUCUAAGUCUGUCGUGAAAUCUCCCGGCUUAACUGGGAGGGUGCGGCGGAAACUGGAGUGCUCGAGGGUGGGAGAGGAAAGCGGAAUUCCUGGUGUAGCGGUGAAAUGCGUAGAUAUCAGGAGGAACACCUGCGGUGUAGACAGCUUUCUGGACCACUUCUGACGCUGAGACACGAAAGCGUGGGUAGCAAACAGG